GAUGAACGCUGGCGGCGUGCUUAACUCAUGCAAGUCGAACGUGAGGGGGUAGCAAUAUCCCUGAAAGUGGCGCACGGGUGAGUAAUACGUAGGUAACCUGCCCUGGAGUGGGGGAUAACAGCUGGAAACGGCUGCUAAUACCGCAUGAGGCCGAGACACUGGGAAGUGUUUUGGCGAAAACUCUGGUGCUUCAGGAGGGGCCUGCGGCCGAUUAGCUAGUUGGCGGGGUAAGAGCCCACCAAGGCAUUGAUCGGUAGCUGGUCUGAGAGGACGAUCAGCCACACGGGAACUGAGACACGGUCCCGACUCCUACGGGGGGGCAGCAGUGAGGAAUAUUGGGCAAUGGGCGGAAGCCUGACCCAGCAACGCCGCGUGGAGGAAGACGGGCCUUCGGGUUGGUAAACUCCUUUACGGGGGUAGAGGAAGGACGGUACCCCGAGAAUAAGUCACGGCUAACUACGUGCCAGCAGCCGCGGUAAU
rnacentral:rRNA from 1 species